rnacentral:rRNA from 1 species
UACGUAGGGGGCAAGCGUUGUCCGGAUUUAUUGGGCGUAAAGAGCGUGUAGGCGGCCAGGUAGGUCCGCUGUGAAAACUCGAGGCUCAACCUCGAGAUGUCGGCGGAAACCAUCUGGCUAGAGUCCGGAAGAGGAGAGUGGAAUUCCUGGUGGUAGCGGUGAAAUGCGCAGAUAUCAGGAGGAACACCUAUUGCGAAGGCAGCUCGCUGGGACGUAACUGACGCUGAGACGCGAAAGCGUGGGGAGCAAACAGG